rnacentral:tRNA from 2 species
GUGGCCGCCGCGGGGGCGGCGACGCUUGGCGCCUUUGCCGAAGGCGCGUUGCUGCUGUUCCUGUUCAGCCUCGGCCACGC